UAGCUGCUGAGUCACACCGAUAAUAGCUUCGCUAGGCGGCUUGUGAGUGAAAACUUGAAAUAUCCAGGUUAAUAAUGUGAGCUUAAAAUAAGGAAUUAGGAAAACGACUUUCAGCACGUGAGUGAACAUUUGUGACUAAAAUGGCCAGCGGUAAACAUCCUAGUGACGAGGAUACCAAUGGUAAGGCUCUCAUAAAGACGCUUUUCGAGAUACAGAAACCGUAAGUGUUCUUUUUGCUUGCUAUUUAAAACUUGGAAUAUAUAGUAACAAGACAAGGAUUCGCGAAAUUUCGUACUCCAGUUUUUGUUCACUAAUCAGAUCAAUUAAUUGUCACAUUUAAGCAUAUUCCAAUAUGUCAUGUACAAUAUUAUAUAUACAAGGCUUCGCCUCGGGUAACAGUAUUUCCCUCAUGUUGACAACAUGUACUAUCACACAGGAAGCCAUGCAAUAUUUAUUUUAUCAUACCGAACACAGUUACAUUUAUAUACAUAAUUAUAUAAGAUUUUUACAAUUACACAACGUUCAAGUUUAAUCAAUUUAUUCUGUAAGUAUUGUUUGUUUACAGUAGCUGACAUUAUUUCUGCAAAUGUCGUUUGGAAAUAUUGCAAACACUGGAAGGUACCAGAUUUACAACACAUUUUAAUAAGCGCUUACCAUCUCAGACUUGGGAAGCCCAACAUGACUAUUUUUAGAAGCGCGUGCUAUUUGACAGUUAUAAUGUCAACCAGUCAAAACGGUACUGUCAGUGUGACAGUAAGAAAUUGCCCAUGAUGGGUAUACGAGAAAUUAACAUGGGCAGGUCACGUGCGGUAUAAUAAUUACAAAUACAUAUUAUCCGCCUAUCAGAAAGAGAUCAACCAAUUUAUGGCAUUGCCUUAUCAUCGUAAGAGUUUACUUGAACAUUACUUUUCAAUAAUUAAAUCCCUUCCUUGUAACUUCACUUUGAAUAAAGCCAUUCGUUUAAUCUUAAAUGCAGGUAGAGAAAAUUGUGUACAUAUUUUGUUUAAGGUGCUUGCAUGUAUUUAAAACCUGUCAAAAAUAACAAACUGUCUGGUAAGAAUUUAUUGUAAAUCAACUCGUGUUUGGUGAAAAAGUAAAAUAUUUUAAAAUAUUGAAGCCCAGCCACAUUAAACCAUCGACGUUCGACAGUCUUGUCCUGAACUUACAUUAAAAGCUGGGUACUUAAAUGUUAAUAUAUUGUCCAUUUUCUUCAUUAUGUCAUAACACUCCGUUCAAACCAAAUGAAGCCAACAUUUGAGAAAACCUAUUAUAAAAAGUAGGAAUAAAAUUAUGUUUGGGAAACCAAGAACAGGUCCUGAGAAAUAAUUAAAAAAAGAAGACCAUUUUAAACAUUAUCUUAUACGGGCUCUAAACCGAGGGAAGCUCGGCAGAGCCCUAUUACGGUCACACAUAGCACUACUUUCGUUCAAAAGAUGCACAUACUAUCAGCCUGAAAAAAAAGACGUAAAGGUGAUGAAACUAGUAUUUUUUCUGUUCAUAAACUAUAUUGAGCGCGUGCAUGCCGGACACCAACGUCAACAGAGCGUGACGAUACGGAAGAAAACAGGCCCAUGAAAUUUAAACUAUGAGAUGCGGCGAAAUAGCGCCCCACUAGUUAUUAAGAUAAUUCAAAAUAUGCUUAUAAGCAAUUUCUAUGAAUACUUUUGGUUAACUCAAAAAGACAAAUAAAACAUAUUUCUAUAGAUUUUCUGAGAUAUAUACUUUGUUUUCACUUGUUUAUUAAAGAUAUUCAUACGCAUUGUUUACCAUUCUAUACGAAGGUCACACUUGACAGUUAGUAGUUGUCAGUUUAGGCUUUACAGUAUCAAUACUAUUUAGAUGUUUGACAGUUGUUGAUCGGAUAGAAAUUGCGAAGAAUUAAUUCCUGUUGGAUUACCGAUUUAAUUACGACCAUGGAUUAUACCGGUACACAUAGCAGAGCUUGUCACGUCAGCCAGGUAGGUACAAUAAUGAGCGAUCAGGGAUACUUUUUUUAUUAUUUAGACAUUUCAUGUGUAUCCCUGUAACGAGUCUGCCAUAGUCUAAAAAUCGUCAAAAGACUCAUUGACGGCCUUUUAGGUGGACUAGUUAGCCAGGUACAGUACAUGAUUAUUUUGUAAAAAAGUAAAACCACCUUUUAGUAAAUCAUACUGCGGUUGAGCAGUUCAGAAAUCGCUAUGGCUGAGCGAGAUAUUUUCACUGAAAAGAUGGAUGGGGUGUACCGUCUGUGAACCUCAACAAUGGAUGAGUGAGAUGUUCUGACUGAUAUCAAAGGAUGGGAACACCUUUCAAUUACCAACACGCUGGUUGAGAGAUUGAACCUAAAAAGAUAUACAGGAAUUGUGUGACAGGGGAACUCUUGUGCCAUGCACCAACACUUUUGUGUAAAUUAAGAAGUUGGGCGGGGAGGGUGCGGGAGGGGUAUCCCCUCCUGCCAAGUGAAACCAUGGCGGAGCGCAAGAUUAUGACUGACAAGAUCAAUGGACGGUUGCUGUCCGACAUCAUGUGAAUGAUAAAGAUUGUAUGUAACAUUAAGAUAUUUAAUAUGUAAAAAAUAUACGACCAAAAGUGGAUUAUUUGUUUAUUAUAUUAUCAUAGAGUACACAAUGACAAACACAUUUUUUAUAAUUCUCAGACCAAGAGAUCACCCAAGGGACCGAAUCGCCCCAAUCAGAUAGCUCGACUGGCCACAACUGCAGUCCAAAUACCAGUAGAAGAAGAUGCCCAUGGCACUGGUCCUGCAAUCUAGAUCCAGGAGUUGCUGCUCUCAAUCUAAUAUUUCAGAAUGAAGAUAUCGGAAUUCAUCACUAUAGUACCGUAUUCACCAGUAAGGUUUUAUUUAGGAUACCGGAGUGGCAUCUGGGAUUAAUCUCUUCAGUAAGUUGGAUUCACCAGUAACGUUUUAUCCAGGAUACCAGAGUGGCAUCAGGAUUUGAUCACUUCAGUACUGUAUUCACCAGUAACAUUUCAUUUAGGAUACCAGAGUUGGCAUAUGGGACGAUCACUUCAGUACCCUAUACCAGAGUGCAUUAUGUAUCUUGGAUCGAUGACUUCAGUACUAUAAUCAUCAUGAACAAUUGAAAUAAGAGACAAGAAUCGCAUAUGUAUCAAAUGCAGAGAAAUGUGUCAAUUCCCUUGGAGAGUAUAAAAUACAGUGACAUUGUUAAAAUUAAAACAAAGCCUAAUGCGUUCUGAACAAUUAAGUGUAUUUGCAAAGUAUAUACUUUUUGUAGUUUUAAACUGAAUGAGCUUAUGAAUGAGGUAAUGUAAGCAUAAUUAUAGUACAUUUUUGUUCUGAUAAUGUUGUGAACAGUUAUAUUGCUUUAAAGUGCAUAUAAUACAAGUUUACAACAUCAAUAUAUAUGUAUCAAUAACAAGAACUAAUGUAUUGUUGAAUAAUCUAUGUGCUUGGUUUUAGCUCACCUGAGCACAAAGUGCUCAAGUUGAGCUAUUGUGUGAUCGCCCUGUGUCCGUCAUCCGUCGUAGUCGUCCGUCGUCGUCGCCCGUCGUCAACAAUUUGACUGUUAACACUCUAGAGGUCACAGUUUGGGCACUAUCUAAAUGAAACUUGGUCAGAAUGUUACUCUCAAUAAAAACUUGGACGAGUUUGAUAUUGGGUCAGCUGAGGUUAAAAACUAGGUCACCCGGUCAAAUUAAAGGAAAAGCUUGUUAACACUAUGGAAGUCACAUUUAUGACUGUAUCUUCUGGAAACUUGGUCAGAAUCUUAAUAUUGAUACUCUCUAGGUCAAGUUUGAAUCUGGGUCAAGUGUGAUCAAAAAUAAGGUCACCUGGUCAAAUUGAAGGAAUAGCUUGUUAAUACUCUAGGCCCCAAUUUCUCUAAACUUCUUAAGGCUAACAAGCUUAAGUAGCUUUUAAUAUUUCAAUUACCCAAAAUACAUACUUGAAUGGAAUUUUGAUAAAUGAAAAAAGGUUUAAUUUAACUAACAUAUAGAUAAUUCCUAUCUAAAGUAUAAAAACUCUUAAAGAAGUAAAUAUUAUACAAAUUAUUAAAAACCAAAAAUAGUGAGUUUAGCUUAAUCCGGUUAUAAGGGACUUCAGAAGUUUCGAGAAAUUAAGGCCUGAGGUCUCAUUUACGACUGUAUCUUCCUGAAAGUUGGUCAGAAUGUUUAUAUUGAUUAGCUCUAGGCCAAGUUCGAUCUAGAGUCAUUAGGUCAAAUCAUAAGAAAAGCUUGUUACUACUCUAGAAGUCACAUUUAUGACUGUAUGUUAAUUAUACUUUGUCAGAAUGUUUUUAUAGAUUAGCUUUAGGCCAAGUUCGACUCUGGGUCAUGUGCAGUCAACAACUAGGUCACCAGGUCAAGUAGUAGGAAAAGCAUGUUAACACUCUAGAGGCCACAUUUAUGAACAUAUGUUCAUGGAACUUGAUCUGAUUGUUAUUCUUGAUGAUCUGUAUUGGAUUAGAUGAGCGAUACAGGGCCGUCAGGGCCCUCUUGUUGUUUUAACUGUUAUAGAUGAAUUGUUGUUGAUUGUUUAUAAUUCAGUUUAAAGACUCAUACUUUAAAUAAUUAAAUAUUUUCAUACUUUCUGCAUACAUCGUUAUAUUCAAUGAUGGAAUGGUGCUAACAACAUCAACUACAGGGAAUUUAUAUUCAUUUCAAAUUGCUGAGGUGGUCAAACCAUUUUUCCAGGUUAUUUGCAGAACCUUAAAAAUCUAAAAUAUACACAAUGCUUUUUUAUAUAUUAAAAUAGUUUAGUACAGGUUAAUUGUCAGAUAACUGUAAUAAUUAGUUUGAAGUAAACUCAAUCUGUUUCGUUUACCUUCUUAUGUUUAAAGUAGAAAUCAUUUAUUUGUACUGUAAAUGCUUGUAUGAUAUUCAAUAUUAGGUAAAUUGAUAUACUUGUGUUUGUUAUUAUGAGUUUUUUCAAACA